CACGAUUUCCGAUUUGGAUUCUCCAUCUAGUGGCGGACGGGUGAGUAACACGUGGGUGACCUACCUUUGAGUUUGGGACAACUACUGGAAACGGUAGCUAAUACCAAAUAAUAUACAGUUUCGUUUCUGUAUUAAAAGGCGCUUUACAGCGUCGCUCUUAGAUGGGCCUGCGGCGUAUUAGCUAGUUGGUGAGGUAAUGGCUCACCAAGGCGACGAUGCGUAGCCGGACUGAGAGGUUGAUCGGCCACAUUGGGACUGAGACACGGCCCAAACUCC
rnacentral:rRNA from 1 species